GCCACUACCGGUCUCCGUGUCUUAGUGGUAGUGGUCCCCCGGGCCCAGCUGUCUUUUCUUCUCUUUGUCUUGUGUCUUUAUUUCUAUAAUCUCUCAUCUCUACACACGGGGAGAAAAACCCACAGACCCUGUAGGGCUGGCCCCUACACCUCUCUCCCCUCUCUCCCUCUCUCUCCCUCCCUCUCUCUCCACCUACCUCUCUCCCCCCUCCCUCCCUCCCCUCUUUCCCCCUCUCCCUCUCUCCCCUCUCUCCCCCCUCUCCCCCUCUCCCUCCCCUUUCCCUCCUCCCCUCUCCCUCCCUCUCUCCCCCUCUCCCUCUCUCCCCUUUUCCCCCUCCCUCUCUCCCCCCUCCUCCCUCUGUCUCCCUCCCUCUCUCCCUCCCUCUCCCUCUCUCUCUGUCUCUCCCCCUCCCUCUCUCCCCCUCUCCCUCUCCUCCCCCUCCCUCCCUCCCCAUCCCUCCCUCCCUCUCUCUCUCCGCCAUCUGCCUCUCUCCCCACUCUCCCUCUCUUCUCUCUCCCCUCCCUCUCUCUCUCUUUUCUGCCCUUCCCUCCUGUCCUCUCCUGGGCUGGAACUGCUUGGGAGCAUCCUGACCUUGUCACUGCCCUUUCCCAGGCUCUCUGGCCCCUGCCCUAGGCUCUGAGCACCCAGCACCCAUCUGUGGGCACAUCCUGCCAGCUGAUGCUCAUGUUCCUGUCCCGUUUGGAGGGAGGUGGGGUCACUGCCUGCCUGAGUGGGUGUUAUCUGAAGAUGGUGUUUCUGUCUUAUGCUGUGGCUGAAACGGGUCGUCUCUGGCCUGCCUGAGAGCACUCAUCACUGUGUUCCUGAGAUUCUUGCAGGCCUCCUUUCCUGGAAUUGCAGGCUUCUAAAGAAGGGCCCUGCCUUGCUCCAGGUCUGUGGGGUCCCCCAAGCCUGGGCUCCUGGCUCCCCUGCUGGGAGGGGCCUGUUCCCUUGUACCGGCUGCCAUGGCCUGUGAAUGUGGGGUCACCCUGGCCGAACCCUCAAACCCUGCUGGGCCCAAGCACUUGCCGGGGUGAGGGCGGUGCUGGUGGUCAAGGUCCAGACAGCGGCCAGUGGUGACGCCCUCAGGCCCCUCCUGGUCCCCAGCCCCUCCCCAGCCGGAGGCUGACCCGCUUCUCACUGGGGCCCCAGCUGGGGGUUCGCUGUUGGUGGGGCCCGGGGAGCCCUGCUGUGGCCGCCACUCACCAGGUAGGCGGUGAAGGCCUCGGCGUCGGCAUCCACCAGCGUGGUUAGCUUGGCCGAAGCCUCGCGGAAGGGCGGGAUCAGGCGCCGCAUCGUCGUGUCCAGGGACUGGAAUUGGCGCCGCCCGUAGGUCAUGAGGCCCACCAUGGAGCCCAGCGCCGCACCCUGCGAGAGGGGUGGAUGUGGGGGUCGCAGGGACCCCAGACGGCCCGGGACCGACCCCAGGAAGAGCCAGGGGCCCGGGUGAUCCCUGCGGGGGUCCCACCCGUGUGGCCCCCACGUCUCCACCCAGGGCGGCCCCACCGCGCCCUCCCCACCCCGUGCCCUCCCCCCAACAGCGCCCUUCCCCCUCCCCGCCCUCCCCCCAACAACUGCGCCUCCCCUGCCCCUCCCCCCGCGCUCACCAUGGCCGCAGCGGCCGCCGCCACCGAGCCGCCCCCGGGGGCCGCAGAGCGGGCACCCACCUCCCCCACGAAGGCGCGCAGGGACUUGCUGCCCAGGCCUCGCUCAGGCCCGCGCUCAGGGACCAGGGCUGAAGGGGCACAGGGAGUCCAGGCCCAGCCGGCUCACCACCUGGAAAAGGGGCUUGGAGUGGAAACGGCCUCGGCGCGUCUCCAC
rnacentral:lncRNA from 1 species